UGCGGAAUUUUAGAUAAUGGAGGGAACUCUGAUCUAGCGACGCCGCGUGCAGGAAGAAGGUCUUCGGAUUGUAAACUGCUGUGGUAAGGGAAAAAUGCUAUGUAGAGUGGAAAGCUACAUAGAGGGAUGGCACCUUACUAGAAAGCCCCGGCUAACUACGUGCCAGCAGCCGCGGUAAUACGUAGGGGGCGAGCGUUACCCGGAAUCACUGGGCGUAAAGGGAGCGUAGGUGGCCUAACAUGUCAACUGUGAAAACCCGGAGCUCAACGCAGGAAGUGCAGUUGAAACGGGGAGGCGUGAGGAGGGUAGAGGAAGACGGAACUGCCAGUGUAGGGGUAAAAUCCUUAGAGAUUGGCAGGAACGCCUGUGACGAAGGUGGGUUUCUGGGCCGGUUCUGACACUGAUGCUCGAAAGCCAGGGGAGCGAACGG
rnacentral:rRNA from 1 species